UUAUAGAAUAACCAUUUUAUAGUGUUUGCUCUAAAACUAUCAAUAUGGUUAUUUUUUAAGAAUUUUUCUAUGUUAAAAUUCAACCAUUUAUCAAGAUCUCGUGUAUGAACCACAAAAUGGUUGAAAAACUUGACGUUUUUUCUUCGCCAUAUUGGAAGCUACCGUGGAGCGAACCGAACGUGUUUUGUUUUUCAUUUUGUCCGUACGAAUAAAACAAGGCUGGAGAAAUUCUAAAGUACACCAAUUGGACGACUCUGCGGCAUGCAGUCCGGAUUCAGUUCCAGUGAAACAACAGCACCGAACGCGGGACUUCUUACUUCCGGAACGAGCAAACUAUAGUGCUUCAAAAGCUGGCCAUCCCGACCAUUCUCCAUAAUAUUAGGAUGGAGCUGAGAUUGGUAUACAGCCCAAAAAGCUCCACCCACCGGAGUGGAAUUGCGGUCAGCAAAGAUUCUGUGCUACAGCUGCCUCCCAGUUGCAUUUAGCACGAAGCGGCAGAAAACGGAACCGCCUGUCCAAAUGCCGAUUUUGGUUCUCCAGAAACAUUCUCUGCACUAGAGACACUUUUCAAGGUUAACUUUGAAGCCGCAGCUGAGGAGGUCUUGAAGUUGGCUAUACACAUUGUUGUUCCGGCGACCGAGAUGAGCUAUUUCCCUUGCUGCAGCUAUUUCCUGGACAAUGCUCAUCUGUUCCUGACGAGCGAAAUCGGCUCUCUGAUUUUUAUGAAUCACUAGCAUCAGAGCCAAAAGAUCGGAACUUUCAUCGGGAAAGUGAAAGUAAGUAGCUCGAUGCUGUUCCGAUAGGUCCACACAACAAAAAUCGUUGCAUUUUCCCCCUGUAUUUAUCAUCAAGAAAGC